CUAAGUUUGAUGGCGACCGGCGCACGGGUGAGUAACACGUAUCCAACCUGCCGAUGACUCGGGGAUAGCCUUUCGAAAGAAAGAUUAAUACCCGAUGGCAUAGUUCUUCCGCAUGGUAGAACUAUUAAAGAAUUUCGGUCAUCGAUGGGGAUGCGUUCCAUUAGUGUGUUGGCGGGGUAACGGCCCACCAAGACUACGAUGGAUAGGGGUUCUGAGAGGAAGGUCCCCCACAUUGGAACUGAGACACGGUCCAAACUCCUACGGGAGGCAGCAUG
rnacentral:rRNA from 1 species